rnacentral:rRNA from 1 species
GAUGAACGCUGGCGGCGUGCCUAAUACAUGCAAGUCGAGCGAACGGACGAGAAGCUUGCUUCUCUGAUGUUAGCGGCGGACGGGUGAGUAACACGUGGAUAACCUACCUAUAAGACUGGGAUAACUUCGGGAAACCGGAGCUAAUACCGGAUAAUAUUUUGAACCGCAUGAUUCAAAAGUGAAAGACGGUCUUGCUGUCACUUAUAGAUGGAUCCGCGCUGCAUUAGCUAGUUGGUAAGGUAACGGCUUACCAAGGCAACGAUGCAUAGCCGACCUGAGAGGGUGAUCGGCCACACUGGAACUGAGACACGGUCCAGACUCCUACGGGAGGCAGCAGUAGGGAAUCUUCCGCAAUGGGCGAAAGCCUGACGGAGCAACGCCGCGUGAGUGAUGAAGGUCUUCGGAUCGUAAAACUCUGUUAUUAGGGAAGAACAAAUGUGUAAGUAACUGUGCACAUCUUGACGGUACCUAAUCAGAAAGCCACGGCUAACUACGUG